CUGGCCUCAAAUCAGGUAGGGCUACCCGCUGAACUUAAGCAUAUCAAUAAGCGGAGGAAAAGAAACUAACUAGGAUUCCCUUAGUAACGGCGAGUGAACCGGGAUGAGCUCAAAUUUAAAAUCUGGCGUCUUUCAGGCGUCCGAGUUGUAAUCUAUAGAGGCGUUUUCCGCGCCGGACCGCGUCCAAGUCUCUUGGAAUAGAGUAUCAAAGAGGGUGACAAUCCCGUACUUGACGCGACAACCGGUGCUCUGUGAUACGUUCUCAAUGAGUCGAGUUGUUUGGGAAUGCAGCUCUAAAUGGGUGGUAAAUUCCAUCUAAGGCUAAAUAUUGGCGAGAGACCGAUAGCGAACAAGUACCGUGAGGGAAAGAUGAAAAGCACUUUGGAAAGAGAGUUAAACAGCACGUGAAAUUGUUAAAAGGGAAACGAUUGAAGUCAGUCGUGUGAAAGGUAUUCAGCCGUCUCUGGCGGUGUAUUUGCCUUUCACGGGUCAACAUCAGUUUGAUCCGGUAGAAAAAGGCGGGAGGAAGGUGGCACCCUCGGGUGUGUUAUAGCCUCCUGUCAUAUGUGCCGGACCAGACUGAGGAACGCAGCUUGCCGCAAGGCCGGGGUUCGCCCACGUACAAGCUUAGGAUGU
rnacentral:rRNA from 1 species